rnacentral:rRNA from 1 species
UAGGGAAGUCUUCCACAAUGGGCGGCAAGCCUGAUGGAGGCAACACCGCGUGAGUGAAGAAGGGUUUCGGCUCGUAAAGCUCUGUUGUUAAAGAAGAACACGUAUGAGAGUAACUGUUCAUACGUUGACGGUAUUUAACCAGAAAGUCACGGCUAACUACGUGCCAG